AUAACUGAAACCAGAUAUGUCAGCUGUGAAAGAUGCAAUAAGAUAUAACUUUAUUAUGGUAUACUGAAAAAGCUCUACAUGAGGCUUUGCUGCUCCUAUGGUUAAUGCUUGAGGAAUGCUGGGCUUAGAGCAUACAUCCUUCUUCGUUAUCUCGCUCAGCCCUUAAAACGGCAAUGGAAACCCUGUUCCUUGCAGUCACCAAAGUCCCAUUUAGUACCAGCACAUGCAAGUGACAGAGGAUGGAUCAGCUCAGCGCAUCUCAGCUCCCCAGUCCAGGAGAGUACAGCCCAUCCCCAUGCACAUCAUGCCAAAACACAGCUGGUGAACCAGCUGCCAAACAGACUGUCGUCAUAUCCUGUUUUUACAGGAUAUGACGACAUGGCUGGUUUUAUGCCCGGAGCAGUCAGCCUGCUAAGCUCUCUGCAACAAAUAUCUGAUGAAGGGGGAAGUAAAAGGCUUCUUUGUCCUCUGUCCUCACAAUAAAAUUGCAAUAUUGUAAUAGUAUAUCCCUUAAUCUAGGUAAUCAGUUUGAUUGUUACUUUGCGUACUGUUUCUGCUAACGUGAUUUGGAAUUAUAUUGAAUUUGU